UUGAAAGUUGGGCAUGCGCAGUACGGAACACAGACGGCUCACUGGAGGGAACGUUACAGGUGCGUAAUUAAGCUGCCUCGUCCGAGACGGUUUGAAUUCGUAUUUCAUUGCAGGUUAAGUUGUAUCGAAUAUCUCAGUUUUUUUAGUCCAAUACAUUUUAAAUAUUAUAUUUAAUAUUAUUUGUUGUGUACACUGUUGCAGCCGAGCACAAGCUAACGUUAGCUAGCUAUCUUGCUAGCUAACGUUAGCUAACGUUAUUUAACUUGCUAGCUAAAACUGCUAACAGCAUGGACGAACUUGAUGACGUCACGGUGUCGACUUUAAGAGGUAACGUAGUCAAAUAUACAUUUUUAACGUGGUUAUUAAUUUUUCGUCAUAUUUAAUAUGCACCAGUAACACCAAGAAAAAUCCCUUGUAAGUAAAAACCUACUUUGCAAUACUUAUGAUUCAUCAGAGAGGUUAAGAUCAGCUAAAUUUAAACAGAUUAAGACUUGCAGUCCUCUCUAUAAAAUCGGUAGUAACUCUUAAUUCUGAACAGAUUUGAAUGGAAUGGUUUUAUUAUAAAUUGGAUAAAUUUAACUUUAUACUGGUUACGUGUUUCAAUUAAAUCCAGUUACUGGGGUGGAUCUACUCUGUUCUAUUAUACUAAAACAUUCGGAAUAACCACAACUUAAAAUAUAAAUUAUUUAGAAUGUAUGCUUUUAUGAGUUUCUAAAAAAUGUAGAUUGCUAUAUACAUUCAGUAAAUUUGAAUUAAAAUUGCUUCAGAAUUAAGAGAGUUACGACUGAUUAAAAUGUUUAAUUUACCACUCUGAUGUGAUGCAUAAUCCACUGAGGUAUGUCAUUUCUUUAUCUAUUGUUAUAUCAUGUGUAUUUACAUUUUUUGAUGAUGAAGUAAGUUUAUUCAUUUUCUGCUUGUUUAGUAAGUAUUUAUAUCCAACACCAUAAGGCAAUCACUAAACCUACCUUCAUUAUCACUAAAAGGAGAAUAUUAACACAAACUAUUUAGGAUUAUUGUUAUAACCUUAGUGGAGUUGUCAAUGCUGCAUCACAAUUUGUGUUAAGACAGUAUAAAUUAAAAGUUGCUUUUACAAAUACUUAAUUAUAUUUUAUUUUACAGGAAACUGUAGACUCAAAAUCAACGAGCAGUUCUACUUCUAUGAUUGGGUCACCCCUAUCUCAGACAUCCACUCAAGUAAAAAGAUGUCCUGCAAAGCACACAACACCUGAAAAUGUUGUUGAGUUAUCCUUCCCAGAAUAUGUAUUGCACACUGACACCAAACUAGAGCAAUGCCCAAAAACAAUAUUUUGAGUUGGCGAGGGCCGGCGAAGAGAGAAACUGCCAAAUGUCAAAGGACCUCAGAUGUCGGCUCAUCCGAAACACCAUGACCAGUAUGAUCGCAAUCCUGAGGGCAACGGGGGAUAGAGACAGAUACCCGUCAAAGCCAGAAAUAACAGCUAUGGCAAAGCGAACAGUGCUGUACUACCCCAUGCUGCAGGACCGAGACCUGAGCAGCAAGUAUGCAUGGGUAGGUCAAAUGCAUCCAGGUGCAUGUUUGAUGUUUGAAGCAUUUAUUUGAAUUUUUCUUGUCACAGGUUACUGUGUACUCACAGCUAUACAAAAGAUUGAAAAAUUUGAGAUCACCCCAAAAGACCAAUCCAAAGAGGCGCCGACUCGAGGAGCCAAAGUGCCAACCUGACUGACCCAGAUGAAUUUGAUUCAAGUGACUCAACAGUCAUUCUGAUCUCCCCUCAAAAGGGGGGCAGCAUUCAAGCAUUCAAGACUUCCCUUCUGAAGGGAGUAGCACCCCAGACUCGGGCAGCAAUGCCAGAUAUGCCCGCAUCUUUGCGUAAG
ensembl:lncRNA